AGUGCCUACGGGGCGCAGCAGUGGGGAAUAUUGCGCAAUGGGGGGAACCCUGACGCAGCAACGCCGCGUGCAGGAAGAAGGUCUUCGGAUUGUAAACUGUUGUCGCAAGGGAAGAAGACAGUGACGGUACCUUGUGAGAAAGUCACGGCUAACUACGUGCCAGCAGCCGCGGUAAUACGUAGGUGACAAGCGUUGUCCGGAUUUACUGGGUGUAAAGGGCGCGUAGGCGGGAUAGCAAGUCAGUCGUGAAAUGCAGAGGCUUAAACUCGGAGCUGCGAUUGAAACUGUUAUCCUUGAGUAUCGGG
rnacentral:rRNA from 1 species